rnacentral:rRNA from 1 species
UGCCUUCACAUGCAAGUCGAACGGCAGCACGGAGCUUGCUCUGGUGGCGAGUGGCGAACGGGUGAGUAAUAUAUCGGAACGUACCCUGGAGUGGGGGAUAACGUAGCGAAAGUUACGCUAAUACCGCAUACGAUCUAAGGAUGAAAGUGGGGGAUCGCAAGACCUCAUGCUCGUGGAGCGGCCGAUAUCUGAUUAGCUANNUGGUAGGGUAAAAGCCUACCAAGGCAUCGAUCAGUAGCUGGUCUGAGAGGACGACCAGCCACACUGGAACUGAGACACGGUCCAGACUCCUACGGGAGGCAGCAGUGGGGAAUUUUGGACAAUGGGCGCAAGCCUGAUCCAGCAAUGCCGCGUGAGUGAAGAAGGCCUUCGGGUUGUAAAGCUCUUUUGUCAGGGAAGAAACGGUGAGAGCUAAUAUCUCUUGCUAAUGACGGUACCUGAAGAAUAAGCACCGGCUAACUACGUGCCAGCAGCCGCGGUAAUACGUAGGGUGCAAGCGUUAAUCGGAAUUACUGGGCGUA